AUCCAUUAGUGGCUCAUGUGUUCUUAAGACAAACUCAGCAGGCUGUACCUGUCCAGAGACACAAUUCAAGACCUCUGUGGACACUUGGAACUGUGAACAAUACUGAACGCUACUGGUCCAAUAUUCUUCCUGGACACACGUACUUCCGAUAAAGCAUGCUGUCUGGAUGCCAGAGAUGAACAUUAGUUUGACAUCAGAACAGUUACAGUAGCGCCGUGGGAUAGCAGAAGUUAUGUGGAUGCCAUCUCUCUCCGAAGGUGAAACCAGAGCUUCUGCCUGCAUGGAACAAGAGCAAGAGAAAGAGUUCACUGAAGGACAGCCUUGCAGAACAUGGGGAGAAUCAUCAGGCAGGUGACUCCAGGCCUGUGCACACAGGAGGCCGAGGAGACUGACCUGCUUAUCCAUGCUACUUAUCAGGAACUGUGGAACCAUGGAGAACAUGACCCUGGCCCUCCCUUCAGGAUCUGCCUGAGAUCUGGCUGCCUCUUGAGACACUAGAGCCCUGGAUUCAAUUGCGGAACAUUAUGUUGGAGAAUAUAAACACUUCUAGACUGUGCCGGCAUUUGGGAAGGAAUAGUCUGUUUUGACUUGAAUGAACAAAGACAUACGUCUCUGGGCCUGGGGAAGGCUUACCAGCUCAGCUCAUCUACUGUCUGGUGGCAAACAUGUCCUGGGUACUGCCACUACCCAGGACACUCUUCCUCACUCUGUCCCUGUCCAGUUACCGCACCCUUCCCUGUCUGACCCCGCCUCCUGUGCCCACUCGCCUCUGGACCCAGAGAUUCUUCUUGUUUGCUCUAUCAUCCUUGAGCCGGAUACAGGGUGAAUAGUUAACCACACUUGGGUUGAAUGGGA
rnacentral:lncRNA from 1 species